UUGGUCCUUUCUUGCGCAUCUUACGCGUUUUCCCGAAGGAAAAUGGCUCCCAUCUGUCACUCGGUCGUAAAAGUCUAAUUCAUAAAAAGGAAAUCCUCGGCAAUAAACCCCCACCAAUUGGUAGUCCAUUAGCAAUAAACAAACGAGGAUCGAAGUAAUGAGCGUGGAAUUACAUGAUACGCAGUUGCGAUUAGUGAACGUUAUUAAAAAACGUGAUAGGGUGUUUGAGCUUAAAAAGAGGGCGAGAAGGGGGUGGGAGAGUGAGCAAAGCGCAAAGUGAAUUCUCGUUGGUGCCAUGAAAACUUGUAACGAGUGAAAAAUACUGUUUACAUUACUGCAUAAAUCGAAUAAACGAAUGAGGACCAUAAUUCUCACGUUACAAUUAAAAAAACAAAAAAAAAGGACUAUCAUUGAAAAGGGUAUCGUAUUGUUAGGACGCUUGAUUUCGAGCUUGCCGAAUAAGCGCCGUGUUUGACAAUUUCUUCGAGUGGAUACGGGGGAGAUCGUUUAAUCGACCCACCAAACCGCACGCACAUUCAACUUUAAUUUAUCCGAGCCUCCCCAACUACAGCAGCAUGGGUUCCAGUCAACAGUUCUCCCUCAGAUGGAACAAUUAUCUCAAACACAUAACUUGCGCCUUUGACACUUUGCGCACCGACGAAGACCUCGUCGACGUCACUCUCAGCUGUGAGGGAAAACGCAUCAGGGCCCACAAAAUGUUGCUUUCUGCGUGUAGUACAUAUUUCCGGGAUUUGUUCAAGGAGAAUCCUUGUCAACAUCCAGUUAUCAUAUUUCGUAAUGUAAAAUUUGAUGAUCUCGCGGCACUCGUUGACUUCAUGUACCAGGGAGAAGUCAACGUUGUACAGGAGCAGUUAGCCAGUUUUUUGACAACUGCGGAACUUCUGGCGGUACAAGGGCUGACUGACGGCACUGGAAAAGAUAGCGAUAGUAUAGUUGAGGAUGAUGUGGAAAUUCCUAAUGAACCCGAAGUCCAACUACAAAACGCGGCCGGCAAACCAAUGACGAACAGCAAGGGCAAUAAAUCCCCCUCCUCCCCCUUGCCCUUCCAGUCGGUUGAUGUACAAUCCGAAGCCACGCCACCCACGAAGCGACGGAAAUGCCGUGAGAAUCGUAGUCUAAAUGCGGACAAAUCACAACGUGAAAAUAACGCGAAUACGACAAAGGACAGCGAAAAAACAACUGAUAAUCAGGCAAACGCUUCGGGAUCCGAUCCCGUUGAAAUAAUACCACUCAUGCCAAAUUUCAAACUAGAAAUGCCCGAGUACAUGGAACAAGAUGGCAGUAGUUGUAGUUACGAAGAACAAAACGCCGGCGACAGUUCAGUCAACAAAUUGGUAGCUGAAGAAACAACCUCGAAUACUAUUGAACAUGAACAUAAACCAGACAUCAGCCAGACUUUCUAUUCGGUUAAUCAAACGGAUGUACUCGAAGGAAAGCGCGCAUCGACGGAUAUCGGACAUCUUCUAUCGAAGCCAGGCACAUCAGGAGAGAGGCUAGGACAGGAAGCAGCACAGGGGGGGGUGGGACGAAAACGGAAGCAUGUUGGCGAUACAACUGGUCAGGUGGUGAUGCAGGGUCCAGGGCGUUUUUCGUGCAGUAUCUGCGGAAGUGUUUACAAGCACCUAGCUUCGCUGACCCAGCACCUCGAAGUGCAUCGCAACCAGACAACCUGCAUCCUCUGUCACACCACGCUCAGUCGUAGAACCGACCUCCGUCGUCAUAUGCGAUUAAAACAUAACAUGCAAUGGCAAAAGACGAUCCAGAGGCACCGAACUCCCAAAAAAGAACUGAAUUCUUAAAGCGCGCGCGCGAGAGAGAAAGAGAGAGAGAGAGAGACCUUCUGAGAAAGCUUCGUCAACAUACGUUCGGACAAUGUGAGAUGAAGGAGAAAGAAAGAGAAACUGAGUGAGAGAGAGAGAGAGAGAGAGAGAGAGAGAGAGAGAGAGAGAGAGAGAGAGAGAGAGAGAGAGAGAGAGAGAGAGAGAGAGAGAGAACGAAAACAAAGCGAAACGUACAAGCGCGUAAGACGAGAAGUUGAGAGAAAUUGGAAAGUCGAAAAGAGGGUCCGAGAACGUUCGCAAAUGCCCUUCAACUGACUUAACGCUCCUCACAAAAUUACACGUAAAUAAAACGCUUUGAAAACAUAAACGAUGCGAAAGAUUAACAAAUAAUACGAAAGAAACACGAAAAAGACCACAAGUAAAAGCAACGAGACGAAACAUCAUUCGAUUUUGACAAAAAGACAAAACAUCAAAUUUCCAGUGAGCUCCAGCAUAUUUUUAUGAGAUUACUUAUGUAUAUGAGCAUACGGUCGUAAUAUUGAGAGAUCAUCGUGAAUAUUCUUCAUAUAUAGACAUUUUUCCCUUUUUUCGUCUUUCCGUUUUAUUGUAAGACCACUAUUAAUUCUCAUGCCUAUAUAUAGUAAUCGAUGUAUAUCAUGUACUUUAUAGUUAGGUCGAAUGAAAUCCACGAACAUGCGAAAUGAUGAUACGUAAAAAAUAUUUAGAAACGUAACAGAGAAGACAAAUAAAAAUGAAAAAAAAAAAGAGAGAAAAAAAAUACUAAAUAGUCGAAUGAAAAGUAGCUGCACAUAUUCUAGUCAUGGGGUCCUACAGUAUUUUGCAAUAUAUUGACACACGCGGAUGUCGUUGUACGACGAUGUUUCAUGAUAUUAAAUUCGUUACUGUCGGUAUUGCAAAAUAUCAUAUAUAAUCAUGUAAGAAUGACGAUUCUUGUAUACAUACGUUUAUUAUGAAUAUGCGACUGUACAUACACGAAAGAUAACCAAAAAGAAAACGAUACAAAUAACAGCAGGAAUUAAACGCAGAAUCUCUUAGUCCGUCCAUGCAGUGCAAACAAAAUGGAAAAAAAUGAUAUAAAACUCUUGACAGGAAUGACAUUUAUCUCCAUAAUUGCACUUACCUUCUGCGCUCAUCGCGAUGUUAGUUUCUGAAAUUUUCAUAAGUAUGUAACCUUUGUCGAAAGUUCAUGGAAUCACGAUGUGUUUUCUUACUUUUUUGUAUUAAUUACCUCUCUCGUGUACAUGUUAAUAAUGUUUUUUUUUUGUUUACAGUUCAUUCUUUAGCGCACUAAUUGCAUCAAUGUUAUGAAAUAGGUCAUACGGCGUUAGAAUUUUGCCUAAAAUUUGUACACGAUUUUGUUGGAGUAAGAUCAAAAGUUUGGUUAGGUUACGCGACAUAUUCUUUCUUCUGCGACCGUCUCCGGUUAGUAUAUUUUUGCUUAAUUAACAGAAAAUCAUCGUUUUUUGUCUCGGUGUAAAUCAAACGCAGCGAAAGAUUGUCGAAACGAUAUUUGUGUAAUUCGAGCGACAGCUGACCCAAUACAAUUAUAUAUAUGUACGCGGGAUUGUAGUUGUUAUAACGAGUAUGUAAAGAAGUUAAAUUUUGCGGCUGCAAAUCGAACGUAGUAUAACCCUGUUAGAAGUAAAAAAUUAAUAAGAACACGAAAGAAGCUGCAACUUUUUCAAACUUUGUUUGUUCGAUCGGUAAAAGACAACAACAUAAUCGUUGCAAGUGUAUAUUGCUGGUCAAAAUUUUACUUUAUAUGCAAAUGGAUGAUCGAUCGUUAUUCGCGUAGUGUUGAAGAAAGGUAGAGCGGCGCUCGGUUAGUGGCGCUUUCUCGAAGCUUUGUAUUCGUUUAUCCGACCGGUUCUGCCACCAUGAAAAAACAGUUUUGUUAUUACACAAGGCGAUCGCAAACUUCAAAUCCCGAGAAAUUUGCAAGAUAGAAUUUCAUUUAAAAAUGGCAGCGUCUAUCGAAUAUUAGGAGCUUAUUGUUUAACCAGUGCAUGUACUUUUUUCAGUACGAAUACAAUGUUUCUCACCAACGACUGCAAAAGCGGCUCUACCUUUAUUUCACGCACAGCAUCGAAUACGAGUACAAAUUCCUAUUUUCAGACCACAAAUAAUAACAAACAAAUACAAGGAAAAUGUUACGAUUUUAUAAAGCGUAAUUCUUUUACGAUAAAAAAUGCAUUUCUUCAGUAAGAGAAAUGCGGAUCAGAGUUGUUUAAGGCAAAAAUGUAUUUUAGAACAUAGCUAUCCUAUAUAUCAUGGAAUAUACAUACACAUAUAAAUACAUAUAGAUAUAUAUAUGUGUGUGUGUCAGAUGAGAAAACUCAAGUACAACAUAUAGAAGAAAAAGGACGAAAAAAAAGCCGUGCUUUGCUUUGUUUCAGCAGUGUCAAUAAAAUACUAUCGAUGUGGUAACAA
rnacentral:misc_RNA from 1 species